GACGAACGCUGGCGGCGUGCUUAACACAUGCAAGUCGAACGGAAAGGCCCUGCUUUUGUGGGGUGCUCGAGUGGCGAACGGGUGAGUAACACGUGAGUAACCUGCCCUUGACUUUGGGAUAACUUCAGGAAACUGGGGCUAAUACCGGAUAGGAGCUCCUGCUGCAUGGUGGGGGUUGGAAAGUUUCGGCGGUUGGGGAUGGACUCGCGGCUUAUCAGCUUGUUGGUGGGGUAGUGGCUUACCAAGGCUUUGACGGGUAGCCGGCCUGAGAGGGUGACCGGCCACAUUGGGAAUUAUAUACGGCCCGGCGUCCUACGGAAGGCAGCAGGGGGGAAUAGUGCACACUGGGCGGAAGCCUGAUGCCGCUCCGCCGCGUGCGGGAGCACGGCCUUCGGUUUGGAAAACGCUUUCGCCUGUGACGAAGCUGGAGUGACGGUAAGGGGUAAAGAAGCACCGGCUAACUACGUG
rnacentral:rRNA from 1 species